AUCAACAACGGAUAUCUCGGCUCUCGCAUCAAUGAAGAACGUAGUAAGAUGCGAUAUCUCGGCUCUCCCGUGAACCAUCGAGUAUUUGAACACAAGUUGUACCGGAAGCCUUCUGGCUGAGGGCACGUCUUCUUGGGCGUCACA
rnacentral:rRNA from 1 species